rnacentral:rRNA from 1 species
AUUGAACGCUGGCGGCAGGCUUAACACAUGCAAGUCGAGCGAGCGGCGGACGGGUGAGUAAUGUCUGGGAAACUGCCUGAUGGAGGGGGAUAACUACUGGAAACGGUAGCUAAUACCGCAUACCAUCAGAUGUGCCCAGAUGGGAUUAGCUAGUAGGUGGGGUAAUGGCGCACCUAGGCGACGAUCCCUAGCUGGUCUGAGAGGAUGACCAGCCAUACUGGAACUGAGACACGGUCCAGAUUCCCACAGGAGGCAGAAGUGCGGAAUAUAGCACAAUGGGAGCAAGCCUGAUGCAGCCAUGCCGAGUGUGUGAAGAAGGCCUUCGGGUUGUAAAGCACUUUCCGCUAGGAGGCGUUACCCGCAGAAGAAGCACAGGCUAACUCCGUGCCAGCAGCCGCGGUAAUUC